CUCUUCUCUUUCUUCUUCUUCUUUCUUCUCCUCUUUCUCUCUCCUUCUCUCUCUUUCUCUGUGUACAUUGUAAAAGUAACACAUAAAGAAAGAAGAAGAGAGAGAGAUUGAGUUAGGGAGAGAGAGAGAGAGAGAGAGAGAGAGAGAUUGCGUUAGGCAUCACCGUUGUGUGUUUGAUUGACUUGAUGCGUAUGCGGUGGUUCCUCCGAAACCCUAUAAAAACCCUUCCGACUUUGAAUCCGAGUAUCAAAAUAAUCCGUCGUUCUAUCUCAUUUGGAGGUUUCGUUCCUCACUCAAGAUCGUCGGUUAGAAUCCGAAUCCCAAUGGCAGCAAUCCACAACAACAGCGAAGCUGGACUCGCGAAGCGUUUCUGGAUCAAGUUCAACCGCGAAUCCAUCUUCGCUAUGUAUACUCCCUUUGUGAUCUCCUUAGCGUCCGGAAACUUGAAGAUCGAUUCCUUUCGUCAAUACAUCGCUCAAGAUGUUCAUUUUCUUCGCGCUUUCGCUCUAGCGUAUGAGUUGGCUGAAGAGUGUGCAGACGAUGAUGACGAUAAACUUGGACUCUCUCAGUUGAGGAAGGAAGUUUUAGAGGAGCUGAAGAUGCAUGACUCACUGGUAGAGGAAUGGGGAUUGGACCUUGCCAAAGAGCACAGUGUUAAUACUGCAACAAUUAAGUAUACCAACUUCUUGUUGGCUACCGCUUCUGGGAAGAUUGAAGGACUUAAAAGUUCUGGUAAACUUGCAACACCAUUUGAGAAAACAAAAAUUGCUGCUUAUACUAUAGGUGCCAUGACUCCUUGCAUGAGGCUUUAUGCCUUUCUUGGUAAAAAGAUCAAGGAACUUCUGGACUCUGACGAAAGUACUCACCCGUAUAGCAAGUGGAUCGACAACUAUUCCUCUGAUGGUUUCCAGGCUUCUGCUCUGCAAACUGAAGAUUUGCUCGACAAACUAAGUGUCUCUUUGACCGGUGAAGAACUCGAUGUCAUUGAAAAGCUUUAUUACCAGGCAAUAAAGCUUGAAAUAGACUUCUUUACUGCUCAACCACUUUUUCAGCCAACUAUAGCACCCUUGACUAAAGGACAUAACCCUGCAGAAGAUCAUCUUGUGAUUUUUUCUGAUUUUGAUUUAACAUGCACUGUUGUUGAUUCAUCUGCCAUCUUGGCAGAAAUUGCUAUAGUGACGGCACCAAAAUCUGAUCAGAAUCAGACUGAAGAUCAAAUAACUCGAAUGUCGUCUUCUGACCUCAGGAAUACCUGGGGUUUUCUAUCUAAACAAUAUACAGAGGAGUAUGAGCAAUGUAUAGAAAGCAUUAUGCCUGCCAAUAGAUUGGAAGAUUUUGAUUAUAAAGAACUGUCUGUGGCACUUGAGCAACUCUCAAAAUUCGAGAACUCAGCAAAUAAUAGGGUUGUCGAGUCAGGGGUUCUCAAGGGUAUAAAUAUAGAAGAUAUAAAGCGUGCUGGAGAGCGUUUGAUCCUUCAAGAUGGUUGCACCGACUUUUUUCGGAGAGUUGUUAAGAAUGAAAAUUUAAAUGCCAAUGUGCAUGUUCUUUCAUACUGCUGGUGUGGUGACCUCAUUAGGUCUGCUUUUUCUUCAGCUGAUUUAAAUGAGAUGAAUGUUCAUGCCAAUGAGUUCACUUAUGAGGGAUCUGUUUCCACCGGUGACAUUGUGAAGAGGGUGGAGUCUCCUAUUGACAAAGUCCAAGCUUUUCGUAAUUUAUUGAAAGAUUGUAAUGAUGACAAGAAGAAGUUAACCAUUUACAUUGGAGACUCGGUGGGUGAUUUACUUUGUCUACUUGAAGCAGAUGUCGGAAUUGUGGUUGGUUCAAGUUCAAGUCUUAGGACAGUUGGGAUGCAAUUUGGUAUUUCAUUUGUCCCUUUGUUUUCUGGCUUGGUUAAGAAACAGAAAGAAUUCAGUGAAGAAAGCUCUUCCAAUUGGAAGGGUUUAUCUGGCAUUCUUUACACAGUCUCUAGUUGGGCUGAAGUGCAUGCUUUUGUUUUGGGUUGCUAGUGUUAUUUUGUGUCUCGUGCACCCAAAUUCAUGCUAGGCUAAAAGAAAGAAACAUAUAUAUAUAUAGUGCAAUACAAAUACACAAGCAAGCAGGUGGCUAAUUUUAUAAGUGGCCACAGAUUUUCUGCUGUCUCUCUUAUUUCUCUUUCAGGAUGUUGCAAUUCAGAGACAUGGUGACAUUCUGAUUAAUGGAUAUGCUGUAACCAGGGAAUGAGAAAUUUCAGACAGCAAUCUUUCAUAUGCUUGUUAGAUCAAGACACAAUUCAGACUUUGAAGUGUUGUACUGGUAUUUAGUAGGCUACUGCCGUUCCAUAAUUUUAAGGAUUCGGCAGAGAGAUCCUGUGUAUUUUCGGUUGACUCCUUGAUUUAGGAAUGCAUAUUCAUAAAUGUUCAUCUUUAUUUUGGGACACUUUUCAUUUUUUUAAAUAACUUGGCAGCUUUAUUCUAGAUUAAUGGUUCUGAUCUAUUCCAGUAGAUUAUAGGAGAUUUAUAGUCAUGUAAAGUUUAAUAGCGGCUGAGGCACUUUGAUGUUUAUUCUAAACUCUUUUUCAGAUCCUUA